GACGAACGCUGGCGGCGCGCUUAACACAUGCAAGUCGAACGGAAAGGCCCUGCUUUUGUGGGGUGCUCGAGUGGCGAACGGGUGAGUAACACGUGAGUAUCCUGCCCUUGACUUUGGGAUAACUUCAGGAAACUGGGGCUAAUACCGGAUAGGAGCUCCUGCUGCAUGGUGGGGGUUGGAAAGUUUCGGCGGUUGGGGAUGGACUCGCGGCUUAUCAGCUUGUUGGUGGGGUAGUGGCUUACCAAGGCUUUGACGGGUAGCCGGCCUGAGAGGGUGACCGGCCACAUUGGGACUGAGAUACGGCCCAGACUCCUACGGGAGGCAGCAGUGGGGAAUAUUGCACAAUGGGCGGAAGCCUGAUGCAGCAACGCCGCGUGCGGGAUGACGGCCUUCGGGUUGUAAACCGCUUUCGCCUGUGACGAAGCGUGAGUGACGGUAAUGGGUAAAGAAGCACCGGCUAACUACGUG
rnacentral:rRNA from 1 species